rnacentral:rRNA from 1 species
AGUCAAUAGAUACCCAGGUAGUCCACGCCGUAAACGAUGAGUACUAGGUGUAGGAGGUAUCGACUCCUUCUGUGCCGCAGUUAACACAAUAAGUACUCCGCCUGGGAAGUACGGUCGCAAGAUUAAAACUCAAAGGAAUUGACGGGGGCCCGCACAAGCAGCGGAGCAUGUGGUUUAAUUCGAAGCAACGCGAAGAACCUUACCUAGACUUGACAUCCCCUGAAUAACGUAGAGAUACGCGAAGCCCUUCGGGGCAGGGAGACAGGUGGUGCAUGGUUGUCGUCAGCUCGUGUCGUGAGAUGUUGGGUUAAGUCCCGCAACGAGCGCAACCCUUAUCAUUAGUUGCUACCAUUUAGUUGAGCACUCUAGUGAGACUGCCCGGGUUAACCGGGAGGAAGGCGGGGAUGACGUCAAAUCAUCAUGCCCCUUAUGUCUAGGGCUACACACGUGCUACAACGUGGU